rnacentral:tRNA from 1 species
UCUAAUAUGGCAGAUUAGUGCAUUGAAUUUAAGCUUCAUUUAUAAAUAUUAUUAUUUUGUUAGAA